UUCCGUUUGGAGCUUCCACCUUGUUCCCCGGCGCUGCGUUGUUAUUGUUUGUCCCUCUUCACCGAAGGACACGGCAGUCAUUACGCUUGUUCUUCUUGUAGGAGCAUCCCAUCUACGCUCCCUUGCAGAUGGGAUUGUGCUGAUGCCAGAGGAUUGCCACACCUUUGGCGUCAUGUCCACUCCAGGGGCGUGCGCUGACCAGCUCAGGACUGAGGAUGAAAAUGCUGUUCUUCCUCGGAUCUCUGAUGCUGUCUGUGUCAUGGCCCCUAGCAACAACCUAACAGCCAGCAAGACACCUAAGCAAGGAGGCAUAGCUUUUGGCCAAUACCUGGCCACUGUCUGCAGUGUCUGGCCGACUGCACAGGUCUUCGCUGGGACCUUGUCCCACACUUGACAGUUCCGGGGGAUAUCCAAGAGUUUUUCCGGCAUGAAUUUCACCGCGUGUCAGCACGUCUC